rnacentral:tRNA from 1 species
UUCCGUCUAGGGCAGCAUCGCUAUCUUCAGCCUUCUCACGGUUAAGACCGCGUACGUGCGCCCCGUAAGAACCAGCCUCACGGCGGAAA